rnacentral:rRNA from 1 species
CUAUGUAGGGAAGGGAUAAGCGCUGAAAGCAUCUAAGUGCGAAGCCCACCUCAAGAUGAGAUUUCCCAUGAUUUUAUAUCAGUAAGAGCCCUGAGAGAUGAUCAGGUAGAUAGGUUAGGAGUGUAAUUGUGGUGACACAUUUAGCGGACUAAUACUAAUAGCUCGAGGACUUAUCCAAAA